UUUAGGGAGAAAGGGUGAGGUUUGCGUUGGUUGUCACCACCUAGCGCUCAACACUUGAAACUGUUUUCUAAUGCAGAAAUGAAAACCGAAAAAUUCAAAAGAAGUUAGACAACGUUCAGUUAACUCGACUUCUUCUGCAGACGCAAGAACUGACUGCAACACCCUGGUGGUGUUGAUGAUCGGCCGUUCACAGCACGCAGUUGAACGAGUGCGACCCUCGACUACGUCCAGGUUCCCAACGAGGAAAGGCAGGCACAAGUGAGAACGAAAAAACGGGCCGAAGCUCCUAAACUUGUCAAGGAAUCGAAAGGAGAUUCGCUCGACGAAGCUGAGCUACUCUGCAGAGACGCGUCCGUCAGCUGCCAACACCAAGGACCCGCUUCAUCGCCCGUCCCAACCCAACCGAAGGAGGGGAGAGAAUCCAUCGCUGAUGGAACAACCGGAACAACAGCAAACUUGUGGUGGGCUGGUGGCAGCAGUUGUCGAGCAGAUAGCUUUAUUGUGCCCGUUCAGCGCCAUCGCUCUGUUAAUAUGCACUUUGUUAAGAGGUCAAUGAAGACAGCAAGACUAUCUCGGUCGUUUUGGAAGUUCUUUAAAGUUUUUAUUAGUCGAAAGUUGCCAUUUGCUUUUUAUCCCUGUCGGUGACUCCCACCGGUCCCUCGUCCACCUUCCCUCGUCCACAAGCGCCGUCAAUGUCAGCAACAAUUACAACAACAACAGCAGCAAGGCAUUGCUCUCUGCGGCCGCUGCCACUCAUUUUAUUUUAUUAUUUUUUUAAAUAUCAAAAGACACAAAAAGACUAAAAUAAAAAAAAAAGGCCAAUUGGAUUGUGACGAUUCGAUGGUUGCUUCCGCCUCUUUUCACUCUUCCUACUCCUCCAACUCCCAGUCCCCCGGAAAUGAUUUAUAUGCCGCACUUGUCAUUUAAAUUGGUUGUGUCAUUUUUUCAGACUUCAAUUAUUAAAACAUUUGAUUUUCUAAAUUUUUAUUCUAGGUUCGUUUGCCGAUGUUCGUCACACAAAAUUAAGGACCCAAAAAAAUGUGGUUGGCUCUGACAGAUUCGCUCUCGUCAUCUGAAGAGCAGCCACACCUUCAACAGCAACUGCUGCCGGAUAAUAAUAAAGUGGAGGAUUAUUACGACAGCAUCAACGCCAUCAACAGCAAGAACCGUACUGGCAGUCCGCUGCUGUAUCAACCUUGGUAUCAACAGGUCCAGCAGCGCAGCAGAGCCUAGUGGACAGCCUGGAAUGGUCCUUGCCCAGUGUGGCUUACCAUUUCCAUCGAAGUGUCGUCGUCAAUCAGCAACAACAACGGGACAAUCGCAGCUACAACAGCCAGAGCUCGGCCGGCAGUAGCACGACGCCCAGCAAUAGUACGAUUGAAUCAGACGGUGGCUUAAUAUGCAUGUUUGUAAUAUUUGAUCAGAGAUUAUCAUUUCUCUCUCUUUUAGGGACUUGAUGGGAGUAUUUUUCAUGCCCUGGUUGACGAAUCAUUGUUUAUUUGAAAGGACAUUUGUGACAAGAACCAAUAGCCGCUAGCUGCUUUCAAAUGUUACGCUUUAGCACUUACUUGCACAUGUGACAGCUAAAGAGACAAAAUUAAACAUUCCCUUACAUCCCUUAUUGUUAAUCAACCAGAAUUCGCUGGGCUUCCAAGAACCCCUAUAAGACUGUGCAGUCACCAGGAAAUCCAUACUGUUAUGUAAUGCUGCAUCCACUCACAUCUGGUUUAUUAAAAAAAGUGUUAGUCCAAUGAAGUUCACUGUAUUAAAUUGUAAAUAGUAUUUUGAACACGAUUUAUUUUACAGUUUA
rnacentral:lncRNA from 1 species